CACUUUCAACAAUGGAUCUCUUGGCUCUCGCCUCGAUGAAGAACGCAGCAGAACCCCAUAUGUAUGUUGAUUGCAGAAUUUCAGUUGAUCAUCGAAUUUUUUACGCCCCCUGCGGUCCUCGGUAGUCCGAAAAACAAGCCUGUUUUAGUGGCAG
rnacentral:rRNA from 1 species